rnacentral:rRNA from 1 species
AAACUCAAAGGCGCAAUGAAAGUAAAGAAUCCGCAAGGAUACGACGUGUGAUCUGAGCAAUCACGAUUGCCUGGAGCAACAUGGCCCCAUUCUGGUCGCUUGCGACGGGGUGGAGGAAGAGCGUACGCGGUGAGACCCGAAAGAUGGUGAACUAUUCCUGAGCAGGAUGAAGCCAGAGGAAACUCUGGUGGAAGUCCGAAGCGAUUCUGACGUGCAAAUCGAUCGUCUGACUUGGGUAUAGGGGCGAAAGACUAAUCGAACCAUCUA